UGCACCCAGAUAGAGGAAGACAUUUAUAGAAUGCUCUUACACGGUGCAAUGGCUCACAAAAAGAAGUCAUGGAUUCCCUCUGAUUGGAGGUUGUCUUUAAAAACAGUUCUGCCACAUGGAGAAAAGAGAGGAACAAUUCUAAUAUUGACAAUGGUCUAGAAGUACCUGUGGAUUCUGGCUAAACUUCAUGAGACUGUGUACCUUUUGUUGCUACUGUGGGCUCAAGCUCAGCCACCUUCUCAGAGCCACUCAGAAAAUGAAGAGGAAAAAUAUCUAAGGGCUCCAGUCACAGAGAAACUAAGAAUCACGCUUUUCCUUGCUGUUGUGAACUCAUGUUUGUUACACAGAUUACAGACCUACAAAGGAACACCUAAUUCCUAGUUCUGUGCUGGCCAGACCUUUUCACUGGGUCCCUAACCCUUGCUCACAGCCUUCCCCACUCUCUAGAACCUAUAGCUGUUCUAGAACUAUAAUCCUGGCUUGAGCCUAGGUUCUUAGGUACCACCUCUGUCUUGGUUGUGAUAUGGAAUUUACAAUAUUUUUGCUAUCCAUUCUAACACCAGGCCUGGGCAGCCCCAAGCUGGCCUGUCCAGACACUGAAGAAUUCUCAGUCUUACAAUCUGUGAAAUGUUGUCAUAAAGGUGUUUGACUGGGGCGCCUGGGCGACUCAGUCUGUUGAGCAUUUAGCUCUUGAUUUCGGCUCAGGUCAUGAUCUCAGGGUCGUGAGAUCAAGCCUCACA